rnacentral:rRNA from 1 species
UACGGAGGGUGCGAGCGUUGUCCGGAAUCACUGGGCGUAAAGCGUGUGUAGGCGGACUGGUAAGUACCUUGUGAAAUCCCACGGCUCAACCGUGGAACUGCUUGGUAUACUGCUUGUCUUGAGCCACUUAGGGGCUGUCGGAACAAACGGUGGAGCGGUGAAAUGCGUAGAUAUCAGGAGGAACACCGGUGGCGAAGGCGGGUCUCUGGGCCGAUACUGACGCUGAGGAGCGAAAGCGUGGGGAGCGAACAGG